UACAGAGGGUGCAGGCGUUAAUCGGAAUUACUGGGCGUAAAGCGCGCGUAGGUGGUUUGUUAAGUUGGAUGUGAAAUCCCCGGGCUCAACCUGGGAACUGCAUUCAAAACUGACAAGCUAGAGUAUGGUAGAGGGUGGUGGAAUUUCCUGUGUAGCGGUGAAAUGCGUAGAUAUAGGAAGGAACACCAGUGGCGAAGGCGACCACCUGGGCUGAUACUGACACUGAGGUGCGAAGGCGUGGGGAGCAAACAGG
rnacentral:rRNA from 1 species